rnacentral:tRNA from 1 species
GGGGAUGUAGCUCAGCAGGAGAGUGCUUGAUUUGUAUGCAAAGGGGCGUGGAAUCAACACCCAGCAUCUCCA